GAUGAACGCUAGCGGCAGGCCUAACACAUGCAAGUCGAGGGAGAAGCCCUUCGGGGCAGAAACCGGCGCACGGGUGCGUAACGCGUAUGCAACCUACCUUUCACAGGGGGAUAGCCCGAAGAAAUUUGGAUUAAUACCCCAUAAUAUUAUUGGAUGGCAUCAUUUGAUAAUUAAAAUUACGAUGGUGAAAGAUGGGCAUGCGUCCUAUUAGCUAGUUGGAGUGGUAACGGCACCCCAAGGCUACGAUAGGUAGGGGUCCCGAGAGGGAGAUCCCCCACACUGGUACUGAGACAGGGACCAGACUCCUACGGGAGGCAGCAGUGAGGAAUAUUGGUCAAUGGUCGGAAGACUGAACCAGCCAUGCCGCGUGCAGGAAGAAUGCCUUAUGGGUUGUAAACUGCUUUUAUAUGGGAAGAAUAAGGAGUACGCGUACUUUGANGACGGUNCCA
rnacentral:rRNA from 1 species